CUUGCUUUUGUUUUGGAGUGAUUUGAGACUGUUUUGUUUUUCUUCUCGGGAGUGGAGUGAAUGCAACACCAUGUCUUCCUAGUCUUAUAGUAUUAUUCAUUAUUCUAUUUUGGUAGUUUGAUUUUGUUUUCUAAUAUUUAGUCGUGGUGGAAGCAGAGCGAUUAUGUUGGCGGCGGCGGCGGCGGCGGCGGCGGCAUCUAAGAAGUGCUUUAAGGCUCAUAACAACCUCCUCCUUGGCAAUCACAACAUCAAGAAUAACCCUCUCUUGUUUUUAUGCUUCUUCAACCAUUCCCAUUCCAUUCAUACUCCUAAUCACAAUAAUAGGCCAAGAUGCUUUCUUGGACGGAGCAGCGGCACUGCUAUUUUCGCCAAUUCCCCCUCCAGCAGCAACAGAUCAUUCACCACUCCAUCAUGGAAUCAUCGUCGCUAUCUCAAUCUCAAUGCUUUCCUAUCCAAUCCUGCUUCCUCCUCCGCAACUCCUUUCCGGCCACCGAACUCUGUGCUGAAUGGCCAUGCCUUAUUCUCAACAACGGCAGCUCCAAAGGAUAAAGAUGGUGUUGCAAAUAAAGCUCCUCCUUCUUCAUCGGCUACUACUGCUACUAAUAAAUCAGACCAACAAGUUGCUGACACGAAAAUCCUACGCACUCUUGCUAGUUACUUGUGGAUGGAAGAUAACCCCGAAUUCCGCUUGAGGGUUGUCUUCGCCCUUGGAUUCCUUGUGGGUGCUAAGGUUUUGAAUGUUCAAGUCCCUUUUCUUUUUAAGCUCGCUGUUGAUUGGUUGACUACUGCCACUGGCAAUGCUGCUGCUCUUGCUUCCUUCACCACUGCCAAUUCCACUCUCCUUGCUCUCUUUGCUACCCCUGCUUCUGUUCUCAUUGGUUAUGGCAUUGCCCGCACCGGAUCCUCUGCUUUCAAUGAAUUGAGGACUGCUGUGUUUUCUAAAGUAGCUCUGAGAACAAUCCGAUCUGUUUCUAGGAAGGUCUUUUCACAUUUGCAUGAGCUUGACCUCCGCUAUCAUCUUAGUCGAGAAACUGGUGGAUUAAGUAGAACAAUUGAUCGUGGUAGCCGUGCAAUAAACUUCAUCCUCUCAUCUAUGGUGUUCAACGUUGUACCGACUAUUUUAGAGAUAUCUAUGGUGGCGGGUAUACUGGCAUACAAAUUUGGCGCCCCUUUUGCAUGGAUCACUUCACUCUCAGUGGCUGCUUAUGUUACUUUCACGUUGUCUGUGACACAGUGGAGGACCAAGUUCAGGAAGGCCAUGAAUAAAGCUGAUAAUGAUGCUAGUACGAAGGCAAUUGAUUCCCUUAUCAAUUAUGAGACGGUCAAAUAUUUCAACAACGAAGCUUAUGAAGCUGACAGAUAUGAUGAGUACUUAAAGAGAUAUGAAGACACUGCCUUGAAAACAUCACGAAGUCUUGCCUUUCUGAAUUUUGGCCAAAAUUUGAUUUUUAGCACAGCUCUGUCAACAGCUAUGGUUUUAUGUUCACAUGGGAUUAUGAAUGGCCAGAUGACAGUUGGUGAUUUGGUAAUGGUAAACGGACUUCUCUUCCAGCUCUCCCUUCCACUUAAUUUCCUUGGCAGUGUUUACCGUGAGACCAUACAGAGUCUUGUUGACAUGAAGUCCUUGUUUCAAUUACUCGAGGAGAAAGCUGAUAUUAGAGAUAAGGAUGAUGCAAAGCCUCUUAUAUUAAAGGGAGGUGACAUUCAAUUUGACAAUGUACACUUCAGCUACUUGGCAGAAAGAAAAAUUCUUGAUGGCGUAGCUUUUUCUAUACCAGCAGGAAAAAGUGUGGCUAUUGUUGGAACAAGUGGUAGUGGUAAGUCAACCAUUCUUAGAUUACUCUACAGAUUUUUCAACACUAAUUCUGGAAAUAUAAGAAUUGAUGGUCAAGAUAUAAGGGAUGUAAAACUGGACAGUUUGCGGAGGUCUAUUGGUGUUGUCCCUCAAGACAUAGUACUUUUCAAUGACACAAUAUUUCACAACAUUCAUUAUGGUCGUCUUUCAGCAACAAAAGAGGAAGUCUAUGAUGCUGCCCGACAAGCAGCAAUUCAUGACACUAUCAUGAACUUCCCUGAGAAAUAUUCUACUAUAGUAGGGGAACGAGGGCUCAAGUUAAGUGGUGGUGAGAAGCAGCGUGUGGCAUUGGCUCGUGCAUUUUUGAAAGUGACUCCUAUUCUGUAAGAACUCCAUUCUUCUUAUUGACCGGCUAUGUGAUGAAGCUACAAGUGCGCUUGACAGCACCACAGAAGCAGAGAUUCUAAAUGCAUUGAAAUUAUUAUCCAGCAAUCGAACUUCAGUUUUCAUUGCGCAUAGGCUUACAACUGCUAUGCAGUGUGAUGAGAUAAUAGUUUUGGAGAAUGGUAAAGUGGUUGAACAGGGACCCCAUGAAGUUCUCCUGACCAAGGCAGGUAGAUACGCACAGCUCUGGACACAGCAAAACAGUACUGUAGAUGCCCUUGAUUCAGCCACUAAAUUGGAGGCAUAGAUGUUGCAAUCGUCCCUUGAACACGCAAUGCUCAAGUGUUGUUUCGGCUGCCAAUAAAUUGCCCCCCCGACGAAUUGUAACGAUGCUGUACCAGUUGAUGGUUGUUGCCUGUGGGUUUCACCAUCACAGUGAAAAAGCAAGGGGGUGGUAUCCGUAACGUCCUAGAAGAAAGAAAGCAAAUACUGAGCAACGGAUGAAGACAUUUUCAAUUGAAAAUAUGGUGAGGCGCAUAAACCCACAUGAAUCGUUCAAUCAUACACAUAAAAUUGUAACAUCUGGAAUCACCGUACAGUUGUCAAAUUGAUUGAUACACGUUACACUAACCCCAUGACUGACAAGUUGUCCGACAUCUUGAUUUGUUUGGAGAGGAGUGGUAUUGUUAAAGGCUGUCGAUGUAGUGGUGGUCUGUGUAAUGUUUGAAAGAUCAUUUGAGGUAGAAGGUUGCUUAAGAGGAAGAGGAAAUAGACAUUUAGCCAGUUUUGGAAGCUAUCCUCCUCCUACUAGUGGUCUCUUUUUCUUGUGUUUUUUUGGUUGGACUUGAAUCUGGUUUUGGUUAUCCAGUUGGAAUCUAUACUUGACGAAGGAUGGAUGUGGGCUUGAGAUCCUCGUUUUUAAGCAAAAUCUAAGUGUAAAGGUAAAUUAAAACA